rnacentral:rRNA from 1 species
GGGGAAUUGUUCGCAAUGGGCGCAAGCCUGACGACGCAACGCCGCGUGGAGGAUGAAGAUCUUCGGGUCGUAAACUCCUUUCGAUCGAGACGAACGGCCUCCGGGUGAACAGUCCGGGGGAGGGACGGUACCGAGAGAAGAAGCACCGGCUAACUCCGUGCCAGCAGCCGCGGUAAUACGGGGGGGGCAAGCGUUAUCCGGAUUCACUGGGCGUAAAGGGCGCGUAGGCGGCUACGGAAGUCCGGCGUGAAAUCCCAGGGCUCAACCCUGGAACUGCGUCGGAUACUCCGUUGGCUAGAGGAUGGUAGAGGCUCGGGGAACUAGCGGUGUAGCAGUGAAAUGCGCAGAUAUCGCUAGGAACGCCGGUGGCGAAGGCGCCGGGCUGGGCCAUUCCUGACGCUGAGGAGCGAAAGCGUGGGGAGCGAA